GACGAACGCUGGCGGCGUGCUUAACACAUGCAAGUCGAACGGAAAGACCCUGCUUUUGUGGGGUGCUCGAGUGGCGAACGGGUGAGUAACACGUGAGUAACCUGCCCUUGACUUUGGGAUAACUUCAGGAAACUGGGGCUAAUACCGGAUAGGAGCUCCUGCUGCAUGGUGGGGGUUGGAAAGUUUCGGCGGUUGGGGAUGGACUCGCGGCUUAUCAGCUUGUUGGUGGGGUAGUGGCUUACCAAGGCUUUGACGGGUAGCCGGCCUGAGAGGGUGACCGGCCACAAUGGGACUGAGAUACGGCCCAGACUCCUACGGGAGGCAGCAGUGGGGAAUAUUGCCCAAUGGGCGGAAGCCUGAUGCAGCAACGCCGCGUGCGGGAUGACGGCCUUCGGGUUGUAAACCGCUUUCGCCUGUGACGAAGCGUGAGUGACGGUAAUGGGUAAAGAAGCACCGGCUAACUACGUG
rnacentral:rRNA from 1 species